rnacentral:hammerhead_ribozyme from 1 species
AUCCAGCUGGCGAGUCCCAAACAGGACGAAAUGCGCGUUAUCCUGGAA